rnacentral:rRNA from 1 species
GAACGAUGAUCUCCAGCUUGCUGGGGUGAUUAGUGGCGAACGGGUGAGUAACACGUGAGUAACCUGCCCUUAACUCUGGGAUAAGCCUGGGAAACUGGGUCUAAUACCGGAUAUGACUGGCUGCCGCAUGGUGGUUGGUGGAAAGCUUUUUUGUGGUUUUGGAUGGACUCGCGGCCUAUCAGCUUGUUGGUGAGGUAAUGGCUUACCAAGGCGACGACGGGUAGCCGGCCUGAGAGGGUGACCGGCCACACUGGGACUGAGACACGGCCCAGACUCCUACGGGAGGCAGCAGUGGGGAAUAUUGCACAAUGGGCGCAAGCCUGAUGCAGCGACGCCGCGUGAGGGAUGACGGCCUUCGGGUUGUAAACCUCUUUCAGUAGGGAAGAAGCGAAAGUGACGGUACCUGCAGAAGAAGCGCCGGCUAACUACGUGCCAGCAGCCGCGGUAAUACGUAGGGCGCAAGCGUUAUCCGGAAUUAUUGGGCGUAAAGAGCUCGUAGGCGGUUUGUCGCGUCUGCCGUGAAAGUCCGGGGCUCAACUCCGGAUCUGCGGUGGGUACGGGCAGACUAGAGUGAUGUAGGGGAGACUGGAAUUCCUGGUGUAGCGGUGAAAUGCGCAGAUAUCAGGAGGAACACCGAUGGCGAAGGCAGGUCUCUGGGCAUUAACUGACGCUGAGGAGCGAAAGCAUGGGGAGCGAACAGGAUUAGAUACCCUGGUAGUCCAUGCCGUAAACGUUGGGCACUAGGUGUGGGGGACAUUCCACGUUUUCCGCGCCG